GGUCUUGUUGGUCCUCAAGGCCCGAUCGGACCCGCCUGGUGAAAAAGGACCGUCAGGUCGUCAGGGAUUGGCUGGUCUGGCUGGUGCCGACGGUCCUCCCGGUCACCCAGGGAAGGAGGGUCCUCCGGGAAUGAAAGGAGGAGUCGGUCAUCCUGGUCCUCCGGGUUCUCUUGGGUACCCUGGCCCUCGCGGUGUCAAGGGCGCCGAGGCGUCAGAGGUCUUAAAGGCGGCGGAGGAGAAAGG